UUGUGUUGUUUUUUUCGUGUUGUUUCCUCUUGAGUCUUGGUGUUCAUGCAAUCUGCCUGCUUGGUUGUGGAACGAGUCAGGACCUCAGGGGCAAUUACAAUUUACAUUGCGGACGAGAUGUGUUUGAUCCUCCCCCCUAGUUGUGGCAUUCAGUGUGCAUGAGUUGUUAAUUGGAAUGGACCUAUGAAAUCCCUUGUCAAGUUUUUGUUGAUUUGGUAAAUGAAAUGACCUCUCCGUUAGCUUCAUUUGUCACCUGUUCC
rnacentral:lncRNA from 1 species